AAUUCCUACUUAAGUACUUGAAUAAAUAGCCGAGCGCAAAAUUGGAGAGCUUUAGUUCUCAAAAUCACUUACCCAUCUCAAAGUCCUGCAGAGAGGAGAGGUAAGACAUGAGCCUGUCUGUGCAGAGCACUUUCAUCUUCCCAGGGAAGAGGCAGUGAGCUCACCUCCAUCGUCACAUACUCUGUGGAGCCCAUGGAGGACUCAGUUCUGCUCCAAGUCGUGUGUCAGUGAGUCCAGCUCCUCCCAGAACACAAGUUCGUGUUGAUGACAUGCUUUCUCGUUUUUAUUCUCAUGGUUGUCUGACAUCAUAACAGAUCAUCUGUUCCCAUCUGUUCCCUUUGGGGCAUUUGCCUUUUAAGUUCUAAGAGAUUUUAGAAAAAUACAAAGGCACCGUAUGGAUUAGCAGUUGUGGUACUGAUGAUGGAUUUCCAUAGUGCAUAAAUUGAGGCAUUUUUCUAAAUGUAGUGUGAGCUCAUUGUGUUUAAGUUGAUCAGUAGUUGAAACUAUGCCUUAUCAUCAUUUGAAUUCCUCAUCCUUGAAUUCCUUUUGCUGA
rnacentral:lncRNA from 1 species